rnacentral:rRNA from 1 species
AUUGAACGCUGGCGGCAGGCCUAACACAUGCAAGUCGAGCGCGCGGCGGAGGUGUGAGUAAUGUCUGGGAAACUGCCUGAUGGCGGGGGAUAACUACGGGAAACGGUAGCUAAUCCCGCAUACCUUCAGAUGUUACCAGAUGGGAUUCGCUAGUAGGUGGGGUAACGGCUCACCUAGGCGACGAUCCCUAGCUGGUCUGAGAGGAUGACCAGCCACACUGGAACUGAGACACGGUCCAGACUCCUACGGGAGGCAGCAGUGGGGAAUAUUGCACAAUGGGCGCAAGCCUGAUGCAGCCAUGCCGCGUGUGUGAAGAAGGCCUUCGGGUUGUAAAGCACUUUCAGCGAGGAGGCGGUACUUGCAGAAGAAGCACCGGCUAACUCCGUGCCAGCAGCCGCGGUAAUAC